rnacentral:rRNA from 1 species
GUAGUCUCGCACAGAUGCAUAUCAAUAAGCGGAGGAAAAGAAACUAACAAGGAUUCCCCUAGUAACGGCGAGUGAAGCGGGAAGAGCUCAAAUUUGAAAUCUUAAAGGGUUUCCCUUUACGAAUUGUAGUUUAAAGAAGUGUUUUCUGUUGAGGUUUUGGUAAAAGUUCUUUGGAAUAGGACAUCAUAGAGGGUGAGAAUCCCGUAUUUGACCUUUACUUUCAACUUUGUGAUACACUUUCAAAGAGUCGGAUUGUUUGGGAAUGCAGUCCAAAAUGGGUGGUAAAUUUCAUCUAAAGCUAAAUAUUGGCGAGAGACCGAUAGCGAACAAGUACCGUGAGGGAAAGAUGAAAAGAACUUUGAAAAGAGAGUUAAACAGUACGUGAAAUUGUCAAAAGGGAAGCGUUUGACACCAGUGUUGUUUUUCUGAAAAUCAAUUAAAGAACUGUUUAUGCUAAGUUGUUUAGACUUUAUCAGCUAUCUGCUUAGUUUUGAGCUUUUCUUUAAUGCACUUUUCAGUUAACAAGUCAACAUCAAUUUCUUUUGCUGUAAAAAAGCUUGAGGAAGGUGGCUUGAGAUUCGUCUUAAGUGUUUAUAGCCUCUUGCCUAUGCAGUCGGAGAGAUUGAGGUCUGCAGCGUAGAUCCUUCGGGGCUAAAUGCAUUUGUGCUAAGUUAUAGCAUUUCAUAGACAACUUGUUGACUAUGAUUUGUCUUGUAGCUUACUCGCUUAUGUUAUUUUACCUACGCUUAGGAUGUUGACAGCAGUAUAGACUGU